rnacentral:lncRNA from 1 species
CUUGCCUGUGAGUCUGAGACCUGCUGGUAUGGAUGGAGAGGGGCUCAGGACAAGGCACCACAGGCUUCCUUAGGCAAGAAACUACAGCACAUAAAGUGCAUGAUGUCACAGAGAGGAGCACACUGCCUGCCUGCCCGUGAGUCUGCAGAGUUCCAGAGAUUAUGGGAUCAAGUUACAUCUGAAUCCUAGUGCUGGCUGGACCAUGUGCUAUCACUGUGCCCUGGAGACAGACUUUACAUUUUUCCAGGAACACUCUGGAUACUGAGUUGUAUGAGGACCCCAGGAUCCUCUUCUAAGCAGGUGUGUAACAGCACUGUCCUUCCCGGUGGGCACAUGAACAGCCUGCCCUGGCACCCUGGCACAGAGAGAGUC